GUAGUCUCGCACAGAUGCAUAUCAAUAAGCGGAGGAAAAGAAACUAACAAGGAUUCCCUUAGUAACGGCGAGUGAAGCGGGAAGAGCUCAAAUUUGAAAUCUUCAAGGUUUUACCUUGACGAAUUGUAGUUUAAAGAAGUGUUUUCUGUUGAAGUUUUGGUAAAAGUUCUUUGGAAUAGGACAUCAUAGAGGGUGAGAAUCCCGUAUUUGACCAUUAUUUUCAGCUGUGUGAUACACUUUCAAAGAGUCGGAUUGUUUGGGAAUGCAGUCCAAAAUGGGGUGGUAAAUUUCAUCUAAAGCUAAAUAUUGGCGAGAGACCGAUAGCGAACAAGUACCGUGAGGGAAAGAUGAAAAGAACUUUGAAAAGAGAGUUAAACAGUACGUGAAAUUGUCAAAAGGGAAGCGUUUGACACCAGUGUUGUUUUCUCGAAAAUCAAUUAAAAAGAGUUAGAUUUUGUUGUGUAUUGACCUUAACAGCUUGCAUUUCAAUUUUCUUGCUUUUUUUAAUGCACUUUUCGUUUAACAAGUCAACAUCAGUUUCUUUUGUUGUAAAAAGGUCAUUGGAAGGUGGCUUUCUUUUCGGAGAAAGUGUUUAUAGCCUUUGACUCCUGCAAUCGGAGAGACUGAGGUCUGCAGCGUAGAUCCUUCGGGGUUAGAUACAUUUGUGCUAAGUUAUAGCUUUUUAUAGACAACUUGUUGACUAUGAUUAGUCUUGUAGCUUACUCGCUUAUGCUAUUUUACCUACGCUUAGGAUGUUGAGCGCAUGUCUCUCUCU
rnacentral:rRNA from 1 species